GUCCCAGAAAUAGCAUAUACAUUGCGCCCUAAGUCCAGUCUCGCCCAGGUGUGGCAGGAGCUUUUACCUGCUCUUCGGCAGUAGCCGGCUGCCACUCAACCCCAUGCCUGACUGAGCUGUGGUAGAAGGAUUGAGGCCAGCACAGAGGAGGAUCAGCAGGAAAUGUAAGGAUUGUCCUCAUCUAAUCCGUCAGUAUCAGACAGUGAACAUCUCUCCCCCAUGAUGCUGAGGGAGGGUGCUGGAGGGAAGGAUGUCGAACUACAGCCUCUGCUCUCAAGAAGCUCAGAUCUGGGCAGGGAACAUCACACACCAGGGCUGUCGGGGGGUGGAGAGCUGGGGGAGGGAUAGCAUUAGGGGAAAUACCUAAUGUAAAUGACAAGUUGAUAGGUGCAGCAAACCAACAUGGCACAUGUAUACCUGUGUAACAAACCUGCAUGUUGUGCACAUGUACCCUAGAACUUUAAUUAAAAAAAAAAAAAAGCUUCA
rnacentral:lncRNA from 1 species